rnacentral:rRNA from 1 species
CUACGGGAGGCAGCAGUAGGGAAUUUUCCACAAUGGGCGAAAGCCUGAUGGAGCAACGCCGCGUGCAGGAUGAAUGCCUUCGGGUUGUAAACUGCUUUUAUUAGUGAAGAAUAUGACGGUAACUAAUGAAUAAGGGUCGGCUAACUACGUGCCAGCAGCCGCGGUCAUACGUAGGACCCAAGCGUUAUCCGGAAUUACUGGGCGUAAAGAGUUGCGUAGGUGGCAUAGUAAGUGGAGCGUGAAAGCGUGCGGCUCAACCGCAUAUCCGCGUUCCAAACUACUAAGCUUGAGUAUAAGAGAGGUAGAUGGAAUUUCUAGUGUAGGAGUGAAAUCCGUAGAUAUUAGAAGGAACACCGAUGGCGUAGGCAGUCUACUGGCUUAUUACUGACACUAAGGCACGAAAGCGUGGGGAGCGAACAGGAUUAGAAACCCUAGUAGUCC